AUGAGCCUAUUUUAAGUCAUAUCACUAUUCAACAUCACAGACCUAUACUUAUUUACCACGCUAUCAUUCACCCUUGACACAAACUUGCUCAUCUUAGCCUUGUUGCCUGCAACCACAUGAGGGGCAUAUCUGGCUAGCUAAGUAAAUCUAAAAGAAUACUCUCUAACUGCAAUAUUUCCCUUCCUGAGAUUGAUGAACUCAAGAACCUUGGCC
rnacentral:lncRNA from 1 species